GGAAGGUGCAAGCGUUAAUCGGAAUUACUGGGCGUAAAGCGCGCGUAGGCGGCUAGAUAAGUCGGGUGUGAAAGCCCUGGGCUCAACCUGGGAACUGCAUUCGAUACUGUCUAGCUAGAGUGUGGUAGAGGGAGGCGGAAUUCCGCAUGUAGCGGUGAAAUGCGUAGAGAUGCGGAGGAACACCAAUGGCGAAGGCAGCCUCCUGGACCAACACUGACGCUGAGGCGCGAAAGCGUGGGGGGAGCAAACAGGAUUAGAUACCCUGGUAGUCCACGCCCGUAAACGAUGUCAACUAGCCGUUGGGAGCAUUUUGGCUCUUGGUGGCGUAGCUAACGCGAUAAGUUGACCCGCCUGGGGAGUACGGUCGCAAGAUUA
rnacentral:rRNA from 1 species